UACAGAGGGUGCAAGCGUUGUUCGGAAUUAUUGGGCGUAAAGCGCGUGUAGGCGGCUUUGCAAGUCGGGUGUGAAAGCCCUGGGCUCAACCUAGGAAGUGCAUUCGAAACUGCAGAGCUCGAGUCCUGGAGAGGAAGGCGGAAUUCUCGGUGUAGAGGUGAAAUUCGUAGAUAUCGAGAGGAACACCGGUGGCGAAGGCGGCCUUCUGGACAGUGACUGACGCUGAGACACGAAAGCGUGGGGAGCAAACAGG
rnacentral:rRNA from 1 species